CCUACGGGAGGCUGCAGUGAGGAAUAUUGGUCAAUGGUCGCGAGACUGAACCAGCCAAGCCGCGUGAGGGAGGAAGGUACAGAGUAUCGUAAACCUCUUUUGUCAGGGAGCAAAGGCGUGGACGUGUCCCCGGAUGAGUGUACCUGAACAAAAAGCAUCGGCUAACUCCGGGCCAGCAGCGGCGGUAAUAGGAGGGAUGCGAUGGUUAUCGGGAUUUAUUGGGCUUAAAGGGUGCGAGGGGGGUCGGUUAAGUCAGUGGUCAAAGCCCGGGGCUAAACCGGGGCCCGCCGUUGAAACUGGCAGUCUCGAGUUGGAGAGAAGUAUGCGGAAUGCGCGGUGUAGCGGUGAAAUGCGUAGAUAUCGCGAAGAACUCCGAUUGCGAAGGCAGCAUGCCGGCUCCGCACUGACGCUGAGGCGCGAAAGCGUGGGUAUCGAACAGGAUUAGAUACCCCAGUAGUC
rnacentral:rRNA from 1 species